ACAAAGCAGUUUCUAAUCAAAGAGCAGUAAAUGAAAUCCAUGGCAUUCUCAAGAUCAGUAUCCGAUAUUCGUCAUCACUCUAAGCUUGGUAUUAAGAAGCCCCAUCACUCUCAUUUCAAUUCCACUCCAUUCAAAUCCCUCUUUUAACCAUUUCUCAGCAAAGCUGAUAUCAGUCUCCAAUCAAGAACAAACAAUAAAUUCUCCACUCAAAAUUGAACACCUUUGUUUCAAAAAUGGGUUCAUUUCAUCGGAAUUUGAGGGUGUGGAUUAUCAGCUCUUGCUAAACUUGCUCUCAAUCAAGGUUUUGAAGACAGUGGAUCAGAUAUUUUAUGGAAUGAGCUAAUGAAUAGAUUACAAGAAGCUGGUGCAAAAGUAUUGUUAAGAAAUGGGGUGAAAUUUACCUGAUUUUGUUGUUGUUUCGAGUGCUAUUUCUUCAGAUUUUGCACGUUCGGGUACCUGUAUAUAAGAGGGGUAAAUGGUUGGGAAUGGUAACAUCGGAUUACAAUCUGAUUGCUGUCAUCGGAACUCAUGGAGGUAAUAUUCUCUCAGGGAAGGGGAAAUUUUUUGUCUUGGAGAAAUCAACCUGCCCCGGUCGAGAAAUCGUUGUCUUAACACUUGGAGCAGGUGAUAUUACAGCAUUAGGACCAAAGCUGCUCCAAAGCUUAAAAAUGAAUGCUCCCAGUAUAACUGACAAGUGACAACGAAAGCAAAUCUGCAACAGAAGUCCUCAGACCAGGACCCUUCACUAUCAAGAUCGAAGGAGAAGAUGAAUGGUGCAACUGAUGAUCAGUAUAAAGCAGGAUUUCAAUUGUCCCCCAUAUCCAGCUAGCAUAAAUCAGCAGCAUGAACAUGCCCGUGCAUAGAGGAGGCUGAGAGCGUAUUGCUGGACUCAAGGCUAUCAUACGGAAUGGAUAACUGAAACAGGAGAAUGUACGUAUCUUAGGGGCCAAUAAAUAUGGUAAUAUAAUGUCUCACUCUUAAAACAACUUCUUUAGAAAGAAAGAAUUGCUUUCAUUCAUCGUCUUUCUGCUUUUUGCUGUUAAUACAAUUUUACAUGUAAAUGAGAAUAAAGAUUACAAACUCUCAUCAAUAAUGAAA